UUUUAAAAACAACUAUCUCACGGCCAACCCUAAUCUAAAACUUCAUUCCCCAAUCCCCUCCGAUUCUCUCAAAUUGUCAUCUCACUCUAACUUGGUUUACAAGAAAAUUCAGUUAUCUUAGAUUUCGAGAUGCAUUUGAUUAUUAAAAAAAAUGAGUUUCCUCCUUUAUAUGGCUCGAUGUAUAUGGAGACAGUUAUUGAUUAGGGUUUGUAGUUUGGCUUGAUAUUCGGGCGGAGUGGAAGUCGUGAGACUACACCUUUGCAGGUUCGCUUCCAAGACUGUAUUAUACUUAUGUUUGCCAUGUAUACUUGAUCAGAUGGUCUGUUUGUAUUAUACUUACGUCCACAUAUAUGAUGAUGAUGGAAACCCGAAUCAGACUCCUGUCGUGUUAUCUUCAGAAAUAGUUGCUAUCAUUCAGUUUCCUGAAAGGUAUUUAAAUGUGACACCAUGGAGAGCAGAAUGGGUGUAACAAAUUCAGUCUAUGGCAAUGGAGUAGCUAAGGACGCUUUGCCACCGCCUCCACCUGUUUCAGAAGAUGUUGAACAAGCUCUGGAUCUAGAAACCAUGUUAAACAUGAUAAAUGGCUGAGAAGCAAGUGAAGGAAAAGUCAUUUGUGUCAAACCACAGCAGCAGCAAAACGAAGUCAAACUCCAAGGGCAUACAACGAGGCGAUAAAGAGAAAAAAAACCUAGGUUUGGAGGCUUUUAUGUCAUUGCAAUUUGUGGAAAUUCAAGUGCUGCUUAUUCCAUAGAUGGCCGUGUCCUUUCUUUGGCUGCUCGCGUGUCAGUCGAUACAAAUUCAGCGAAAGAAAGGGUAUUGCUUUGGGGGCUGCAGCAGUGUUUGAAAGAGGUGAUUAAGUUGAUGGCCAAUGAGAUGCUGAGGAGAUCACACCUUAGGAUUAGUAAAUUAAGAAUGCAUUGUAGACAUUGUAUGUCAAUAAGAAAAUUGUAAAGCUGGCUGCUUAUAAAAUGUAUGUCAAAAUGAAAUUUACUGAAGUCCCUUUAUAGUUAUGCCAAUGGUAAUGCUUGAUAUACAGGAUUUUUGAGCUAUGAAAAUAACUGCAAUGGAAGUUUGGUUUUUGUAAAAA